rnacentral:rRNA from 1 species
CGAGCGAACAGACGAGGAGCUUGCUCCUCUGACGUUAGCGGCGGACGGGUGAGUAACACGUGGAUAACCUACCUAUAAGACUGGGAUAACUUCGGGAAACCGGAGCUAAUACCGGAUAAUAUAUUGAACCGCAUGGUUCAAUAGUGAAAGACGGUUUUGCUGUCACUUAUAGAUGGAUCCGCGUCGCAUUAGCUAGUUGGUAAGGUAACGGCUUACCAAGGCAACGAUGCGUAGCCGACCUGAGAGGGUGAUCGGCCACACUGGAACUGAGACACGGUCCAGACUCCUACGGGAGGCAGCAGUAGGGAAUCUUCCGCAAUGGGCGAAAGCCUGACGGAGCAACGCCGCGUGAGUGAUGAAGGUCUUCGGAUCGUAAAACUCUGUUAUUAGGGAAGAACAAAUGUGUAAGUAACUAUGCACGUCUUGACGGUACCUAAUCAGAAAGCCACGGCUAACUACGUGCCAGCAGCCGCGGUAAUACGUAGGUGGCAAGCGUUAUCCGGAAUUAUUGGGCGUAAAGCGCGCGUAGGCGGUUUUUUAAGUCUGAUGUGAAAGCCCACGGCUCAACCGUGGAGGGUCAUUGGAAACUGAAAAACUUGAGUGCAGAAGAGGAAAGUGGAAUUCCAUGUGUAGCGGUGAAAUGCGCAGAGAUAUGGAGGAACACCAGUGGCGAAGGCGACUUUCUGGUCUGUAACUGACGCUGAUGUGCGAAAGCGUGGGGAU